AGGAGUUUAAGCAAUACAAUUGGAAUUGAAGAGUCAUUUUAAGACGCCUGCAGGGUCAUUCUCGGGAUCAUAUUUUUCCAGCGUUUUUCAAGAAACCCAAGCGUUUUGAGUGUCCCCAAUUGAAGCCAAUCUAAUUGAUAAUCAUUGAAAUUAAUGGCACUAUCAUUCUCAGUGGCGAAAUGUGAUGGAAGAUGUUCUUAAACAACAUAGUAAUCGACAACUUGAUUUGGAUUCCCCAUAGAGCAGAUGAAGCUGGUAUGUGUAAUAUGAGCAGAGGAAGCUGGUACGUGGAAUAUUGUAUUUUGCAAAUUGAUUAAUCUAACACCCAUUUCGGUUUGACACUGUUUGUUUUCGAAUUUUGAGUUUUGCUGAUUAGGUUUUGGCAUGAUAAUCAAGCGGAAGUUGAAAUCGGUAAUGCUGACUUAGUUGUUAUUUUGAUUUACUUGUUGCUGUUGUGUGCGACUUAUUGCGAUGUUGUCCUUGCUGUUUAGGCUUGCUUUUACUAACCUUGAGGUUGAUUUCACAGUAAUGGCCGAAACUAUAGAUGUAGUUGUUGUUUUGUCUUUGAUUUCACCUAAGUUCUGCCCUUAUUCUGGGUUGGAUGCACUAUUAAACCGAGAAUAGUUGUUUGGAGUUGUCUUGAGUAUGACUAUUGAGAGAAAUGUAGAUUUACCGUUGUUUCGCCGGCCACCGGUGCUGCUGCUCUGUCGCCGGUCUCACAAGAUUUCCAGGAACCCGUCUCCUUCAAUACUCAUUCGUGCACUUCGAACUGUUGGCAACAUUGUGAUCGGUGAUGAUCUCCGGACUCAGGUACCAACUAACGUGCUAGACUUUACAUCCCUGCGUUUCAAUGGAGCCAUUAACGAUGAUAUUACAGAGUUCUAGACUAUUUUGUGUCAUACCCUCGUACCCAUUUCAUGCUUUCAUCAUAUGCAACUGUGAUCUCAGUUGAGAAAGCUUACCAUCAGCAGCUUUCCGUUCCUAAAAUCACAAGUUCAGUUUUAGAGCCUGCAAGCAUGAUGGCUAAAUGCGAUCCUAGGCAUGGAAAACAUAUGGCUUGUUGUUUGAUGUUCCGUGGAGACGUCAUUCCCAAAGAUAUCAAUGCUGGUGUUGCUACAAUCCAAACCCAACGCACCGUGCAGUUUGCUGAUUGGCGCCUGCCUGGUUCAAAUGUACAAUCAAUUAUCAAGCACCAAUGGUUGUACCAGGUGGAGAUCUUGCAAAGGUUCAGAUAGUGGUUUGUAUGAUCAGCAACAACACAUCAGUCCCUUGGGUCUUUUCACGCAUUGACCAUAAGUUUGACUUGAUGUAUUCAAAGAGGGUGUUUGUUCAUUGGUUUGUCGGUGAAGGAAUGGAGGAAGGCGAGUUCUCAGAAGCUCAUGAAAUCUUGCAAACUCUGGAACAAUUACUGUUACAGAAUAGAGAAGCAGUUCCAACUUUACCCACUACAGAAGCUAUCGUGAAUGUUUUGCUCAAGACUGUUGCAUCAAAUUCAGGUUGUAUAUUAAUCACUUUCAAAAACGCAUAUCAUUUUUUCAUAACUUUGAGCUAAUAAUUGUUAUUUUCUUCUUUAACUUUUAUGCCCGAUUAUCCUCUUAGAGAUAUGAUGAUGACACGUGACAAAAUGAAGCGUGCAAUCGAGGGGAGAGAGAAAACAGUCGGGACUCGUGUGAUUAGGUAUUGUUGAACAAAUGAAUUAGACACAAAAGAAAAAGUAAUCUCACCUGGUAUUUUUUAGCAUAACAUACAUAAUCUUUUUGCUGAAGCUUGUGAGCAGUGAGUGAGCACCAAACUUAUUAAUUUAAUUUGGGCUAAAAAGGGGGAGAGUGGAACCCUUCUAGGGAGCCAAUCAGAGGUGUGAAACUGUGUGUUUUAGACACCAAACCCUUGGUAAAUGAGUGAAGUACAUACUAGAUCAGGUAAAAAAGUGAAGUAAAAAAGAUCUGAUGGAUCAAAUAGUUCAAAAGUUUUCUACCAAUGGCGUUGUAAUGAAGUGUUUGUGGGUUAACAUUACCAGUUUUUCCCGUACUAAAUGUUAUCCAUCUUGAGUUGAUCGGGUUUUGACCCGUUACUCCAAACCACUCACUUUGCCACCUUUACUUUUGAAUUUGUCACCUAUGAUGGCGACUUUAUUAUAUAGCCAAACAGUGCGAGUCAUCAGCUGGUACUAAAAACAAGAUUCAGCACUCAGGUUUCAGUGUUUAAUAGCAACAAUAAAUUGUGUUGUAAAAUUGAAAUUAUUUGUGAUUGAAAUCAUGAGUACGAUUUUCUCUAUGAACAAUUCAUGCAGGAUCCUAAUGGAGCUAGCAUUUAUCAGGAUUUGUUGCAUUUUUUAACUACUGAGCUAGCAAAUUAUCAGGUUUAUUGCAUUAUAUCAACCCUUUUUGUUUGGCUAAAGUGCAAAUCUAAACUUAGUGGUUUGGAGGGGGUUUAAGUGGAAUAACAAGAAGAAAAUGCAAUGGAAUAUGGGUUUGGGGUACAAUCGAAGCAACAAAAAAGAGGGGGGGUAAGUCUUUCUAAAAUCUGUCUGUCCAGUUCCAAAAAUUGUAACGUCUACAUCUUCUGGAUAACGCUUGAUUUUUAUGGUGUUUUGGAUGCUUAUUUCCUGCUAAGGUAAGUGAAAAGACCUUGUAUACUCCCUUAAAAGUCCAACAUGCUGAUUAUAUGUUCUUGGUAUAUGCAUGUAUGUCAAAAGAUGAAAUUUAGUGUAUUAUAAAUAUGAAUUAGUUGCCUGUCGUAUGGUGAAUACAUGUACUCACUCACCAAACAUAAGGGUAGGUAAUGUUUUUGAGUUUUGAGACUUCUUGAUAUGAAUUCUUGUAGACUUUAUAUAAAAAUAUAAUAAAUUUUGUUUUUUUAUUGACAUUUGGACAGGAAUUCGUAUAUGAUUUAUGACAAAAUUGUAAUAUGGCUAUGUUUUUUGAUCUAAUACGCCAAACCUUUCGUGAGAAACUACAAAUCAUCAAAAUUAAAAAGAAAAUUUCAUGGUAACAAUUUAGGACAAGUUGUUGAUGAGCGUGACCCAUGUGUGGGACGGACCAGGCAAACUCCUAUGCAUGCCCGAUGAGUACCAAGGUGGACGCAUUUCUCGAGUUUAGGAAUAGAGGUUGUGAUGUACGAGGUUGGUGACUUUACCACACCACAAACCCCAAGAACAACUAUGAGGCGAUAAAAUAGACGCACCCGCCGCAACGCGCGGGCAUUCCCACUAUUGGUCAUUAAAGCAUCUUCAUGUAUAUUGAUCCUUUAAAGGAUCCAAAGAAUCACCAGCUUGUAGUCUACAUGGAUAUUAUUGAUUUUUUGAAACCAAAAUUUGUUUUGAUGGAGAAUGUCUGUGAUCUUGUCAAAUUUGCGGAUGCUUUUUUGGGAUAUCAUGCUGUUGGGCGUUUAGUUUAUAUGAAUUAUCAAACACGUAUGGGGAUAAUGGCAGCUAGAUCAUACGGAGUUCCUCAAUGCAGACUGAGGUUCUUUCUUUGGGGUGCUAAUACGAUGAUGAAUUUGCCUCAGUUUCCAUUACCAACACAUGAGGUUGUGGGUAGAGGAGUUGUUCCUGUUGAGUUCAAGGACUGUAUUGUCGGGCCUGAUAAUGAUAACUAAUACAAGUUAGAGAAGAGCACGUCUUGGUGAUGCAAUUUCAGACUUGCCUGAGGUAAGUGCUAAUUACCUUUAUACGAUGUCAUUGGAGCUGCACGUGGGCUAUUACUUGACGAACGUAACCUCGCGAAGGUGGCGGACUUCAGGCUCUCGAGGUCGGGUCCGUGUUUAAGUGAGACUCAUGUUAGCACAGGCGUGAAGGGUAGUUUUGGGUACUUAGAUCCUGAGUACUUUUGGAGGCAACGGAUAAAUCAGACGUUUAUUCGUUUGGGGUUGUGCUCUUUGAAGUACUCUGUGCUCGGCCUACUGUUGACCCGAUGCUGGGCCGAGAAGAGGUCAAUUUAGGCGAGUGGGCAAUUCAUUGAAAGAGGAAAGGGUUGCUUAAAAAGAUUGUGGACCCGCGUAUUGCUGACUAGAUAAAACUGGUGUCUUUGAAAAGUAUGCGGACACGGCUGAGAAAUGUUUGGCGGAUUACGGUGUCGAUAGACCGACUAUGGGCGAUGUAUUAUGGAACUUGGAAUAUGCACUUCAGAUUCAAGAAACCGAAAGUGUGGAUUCAACGAGAACGGGUCACACAGGUGCACCAGAAAUUGUAUCCAGUGAUGGAUCGACCAAUGUUGAUGGUUCACUUUCGGGCUCAAAAACAAAUCUUGUUAACGGGAGUUCACAUAGUAAACAGAUAAAUUGUAGAUAGGAGAUUUGGAUAGUGGGGUAACUUAUCAUAUUAUUUAAGGUCUAAGCAGCUAUCCUCUUUGUUUUGUAUGUAGUUUUUUUAAACAACAUUAACAGCAUGAGUCUUUAGUCUCAGCUAUGUGUUUGAUCAAAUGUAAGUUGUUUUGUACAUUA